UUUGUCUAUGUUGGUGAAAAGUUAAACUACUAUUAUAUAAGAGUAAUUUAGGUUCUUAAAUUGUAUAAUUAGGUAUUUCCCCCUUUUUAUUUCCUUAUCGAUCUCCAUAUGCAUUCAUUUGUUAAAUAACUCGUUCCCCAGCUAGUAAUUACUUUUUAGUCUAUAGUGUUAAUCUUGAUAGGGUUUUUCUGAAGAAGGAAAAAAAAUGGAUCAGGGGAAAGGGAAAUGGGAAGGGGAUAACAAGGUGCGGAACUAAAUUCUUGUCUUUAACGUGCGGAGUUUACUUAUUUUUUGGGAUUCAUAAUAACAAGAUUUCUUUUUCUCUCUUCAUUAUUCAUCUCAAUCACAAGAAUAUUCUCUCUUCAAAUGGGGUAUGUUUCGCUCUUAUUACUCUCUCAUCUCUUCCAUUGUCAGUGUCUAGGAAAAACCUAUAUUCUUGAUAAUAUUUUUGGUUCUUUUCUAUUCUUAUUUCUCCUUCUUUUUUUUAAAUCACCUCUAAUUCAAGAACAAAAAUUAUUUUUGUUAUAGUUUUUACCAUGAAAAAUUUCAUGGAUUUUACUCCUAGAAAGAGUCUUAGGUCUAGGCUUCGACGCAAUAUUAACAGCCCCUUCUAUCUAAAUUACGUUUUGAGUUGGAUAUAUUCACACUAUUCCCUAUAAGUGAAUAUGAGUUAGGGAUUCAUGCCAUCAAUAGUGAAAUUUAUCUCUGUUACAACUAAUUCGCCAAAGAAAAAGGUAAGGAGAAAGAUGUUAGUGCAAUUUCUCUCAUUAUUUCCUCAUUAUUGAUUUUAGUUAUAUGUUUCAACCCUACAACGCAUAACACCAUAAUAUAAUCAAGUAUAUAACAAUUUUUUUAGCAUCAUCAAGUUAAUCCAACCUACAUUGAUGUAAAAAUUAAUUUUUAAAAAAUAAUUUAAACAAAAAAAAGUUAAGGGAGGGAAUAAAAAAACAUUUUUUUUGGAAAAUAAAUGGGGUAAAAAAUGGAAAAAGAAAAGAAAGGAGAAACAGACGAGUGAGUGAAGAAAGAGAAAUAAUAAAAGGAGAGAAAAAAUUCAGAAAAAAAACAUUUGCUUAUUAAAUAUCUUAGGAAGACGAUCAGAAAAUAGGAGAAAUAUCAGGAAGCAAAAAUAUUGAGGGGAGAUAUUUUAGGGACAAAAACGUGAUUUCUUUAAUCCCUUUAUUAUAUUUUGGUAUUUUUUCGUUCUUGUUUAUUAUUUAUUAUUUUGCUCUAUUUUGCCUAUGUUGGUGAAAAGUUAAACUACUAUUAUAUAAGAGUAAUUUAGGUUCUUAAAUUGUAUAAUUAGGUAUUUCCCCCUUUUUAUUUCCUUAUCGAUCUCCAUAUGCAUUCAUUUGUUAAAUAACUCGUUCCCCAGCUAGUAAUUACUUUUUAGUAGGGCUGCGCAUCGGUCGGUUCGAUUCGGUUUUAUGUGUUAUUGGUUCGAUUUAUCGGUUUUCGGUUUGUAAAUAUGUCAAAUCGAUAACCAAACCAAUAACAUAUUUCUUAUCGGUUUUUGAUUAAUCAGUUUAUGGUACUUAACGGUUCGAUUUUCGGUUUAACCAAUAAGAAAAUACUCAUAUAUAUUAUAUACACAUUAAGAAAAUUUUCAUAUAAACCGUAUGAUUUUUCCAACAUUUGGCAUGAAAGUAAUAAUCAUAAAAUUAACAAUCAUAUUUCUUGCAAGUUUAGACACUAGACACAUUCAAAGGAAAAAGUGUGAGAGUAAUUAACAAUCGUUAACCAUUAACAAAAAGUAGUGAAAGUAACAAUCGUUUAACCAUUAACAAUAAGACUAGUAAAUUUAGUAUAGUCUUAUUGGGUUAUCGAUUUAACCAUUAACAAAAAUCAUAAAACCGGAAACCGAACCAAUAACCCAAUAAAAAAAAUUUACAAAAUCGUUUAAAAACCGUUAGCCCAAUAACCCAAUAUCAAUAAAUCAAUAGUGUUUUUUUCGGUUCAGUUUAUUGGUUAAAUCGGUUUUUGUGCACCCCUACUUUUUAGUCUAUUGUGUUAAUCUUGAUAGGGUUUUUUUGAAGAAGGAAAAAAUAAAUGGAACAGGGGAAAGGGAAAUGGGAAGGGGACAACAAGGUGCGGAACUAAAUUCUUGUCUUUAACGUGCGAGUUCAGCUAGCUAAUCAAUUAAACUACUAAGAUUUUUCAACCUUGAUAGGUUAAAAUUUUUGACUCACAAUUUUAGUUAACGAUGCAAGAAAAAACAACCGUCCACCAACACCCUCACCCCAAAAAAGAGAGAUUUACAUUUCCAUCGUUAUAUAUAUAUAUAUAUAUUACAAAAGUAUCCACCUUAAGAGAAAACAUAAAAUAUUGUUCAUAAAUUUGUUGUUGAUAAUUACAUUAAGAAAAAUAAACUCUCACUCUCUAGUGACUUAAUACCACUAGAUAGAGUGUCUAGCGACCUUUUAUUACAAAUAAAUAAUCAUGCACAUGAAUAAGUAAAAACAAAGAGAGUUAGACCUUACCUUAUCAAUCUUAAUAACGUAACAAAGUCUCGAAAAUAUACUCAACUCUGUAAUUCCAAAGAAUCACUCUUCAUAUUUAAACAUUCAAUUAUUUUGAGAAAAAAUAUUAUUAUUUUUAAAGAAAGUUCAUAAAGUAUAAACAUUCUAAGUAGAUCGUGUCCUCCAAAAUGCAAAAAACACUUUAGGUAAGAAAGCAACAGAACUUUCUAUCCUAUGUGGAGUUGAGAUUGCAAUUAUCAUUUUUUCAAUUGAAUUAUGUGAAUCAUUUAGUUUUGAUAAAUCAUAUGUUGAAUCUAUCAUCGAUCAAUUUUUGCAAGCAAAACCAUCAACUGGGUGUUCUUCAAAUUGUAGGAUGACAAUUGAAAGAAUUUGUGAUCACAAAUACAUAAAUUGUCAAAUGGAUAUUGUCUUUUCUCAUGUUUUUGUGAUCACAAUUUUUUUUCAAUUAACAUCAUAUAACUUGCUCAAUUGAUUGUUUUGCUUGCAAAUAUCGAUAGACAAUCGAUUCAACAUCUUAUUUAUCAAAUAUAAAUGGUUCAUCUACAAUGAAAUAAUAAUUACAAUUUCAAUUUCACAAAGAAUAAAAAAUUGUUGCUCUCUUACAUAAAGCAUUUUGUAUUUUAGAGAAUGUGGUCUACUAGAACACGUAUAUUUUAUGAAAUUUCUUUCACUUUUUUUUUUUUGCAUUUAAGAGCUCUUUUUUGUCAUAAUUAUCACAAUAAGACAUACGCUACAUAAACUCUUAUUGAUGAGUGUUUGAAUCCAGGACCGUCUUCAAAAGUUUAGGGGCAUAAAGCCAAACUUCAUAAAAAAAAUUAGUAGUUUUUUGGUUGGCAUAUAUAAAUUGAACAACUAUAACAUAGUCAGUAAAAUUCUAUAAAUGAGGUCUGUAGAGGGAAAGAUGUACGAGAACCUUAUGAAGUAAUCGUAUAAAAAAAAUGUAAUUUUCAAUGAAAAAUAUAAUAUAAAAUCAAAAUAAUAAAACCUGACUCAAAAAUUUGAUAUAUAUAUAUUGUGGGCUCAAAAAAAUUGUCCUAUAUGAAUCUCAAACUAGAGCGCGUACAGAAAAGAACAAACAUGCAUAUUUAUAUAAGGAAAAAGGAAAAUUGAGAUAUUAGUGAACAAAUUACUAUACCAGUGGGAAAGCUAAGGGACUCGCAUAUGAACCCUCAAGCCUGUAAUAGAGUUGUUGGUGUUGGUGGAUUGCUUCUCCCUAUUGCAUUCUAGAUUUUGGUCCACAAAUUUUGAAAGCUUAAAUAUAGUCUCCAAGGUGGAGAAAUGUAUAGAGAAAUAGAGAAUGCAUUUGAGGAAUGAAAAAUUAUGGAACAAAGGAAGGGUUUUUAUAGUUGGUGUGAG
rnacentral:lncRNA from 1 species